GAUGAACGCUGGCGGCGUGCCUAAUACAUGCAAGUCGAGCGAACAGACGAGGAGCUUGCUCCUCUGAUGUUAGCGGCGGACGGGUGAGUAACACGUGGAUAACCUACCUAUAAGACUGGGAUAACUUCGGGAAACCGGAGCUAAUACCGGGUAACAUGUUGAACCGCAUGGUUCAACAGUGAAAGACGGUCUUGCUGUCACUUAUAGAUGGAUCCGCGCCGCAUUAGCUAGUUGGUAAGGUAACGGCUUACCAAGGCAACGAUGCGUAGCCGACCUGAGAGGGUGAUCGGCCACACUGGAACUGAGACACGGUCCAGACUCCUACGGGAGGCAGCAGUAGGGAAUCUUCCGCAAUGGGCGAAAGCCUGACGGAGCAACGCCGCGUGAGUGAAGAAGGUCUUCGGAUCGUAAAACUCUGUUAUUAGGGAAGAACAAAUGUGUAAGUAACUAUGCACGUCUUGACGGUACCUAAUCAGAAAGCCACGGCUAACUACGUG
rnacentral:rRNA from 1 species